CAUGCAAGUCGAGCGAACAGACAAGGAGCUUGCUCCUUUGACGUUAGCGGCGGACGGGUGAGUAACACGUGGGUAACCUACCUAUAAGACUGGGAUAACUUCGGGAAACCGGAGCUAAUACCGGAUAAUAUUUCGAACCGCAUGGUUCGAAAGUGAAAGAUGGUUUUGCUAUCACUUAUAGAUGGACCCGCGCCGUAUUAGCUAGUUGGUAAGGUAACGGCUUACCAAGGCGACGAUACGUAGCCGACCUGAGAGGGUGAUCGGCCACACUGGAACUGAGACACGGUCCAGACUCCUACGGGAGGCAGCAGUAGGGAAUCUUCCGCAAUGGGCGAAAGCCUGACGGAGCAACGCCGCGUGAGUGAUGAAGGUCUUCGGAUCGUAAAACUCUGUUAUUAGGGAAGAACAUACGUGUAAGUAACUGUGCACGUCUUGACGGUACCUAAUCAGAAAGCCACGGCUAACUACGUGCCAGCAGCCGCGGUAAUACGUAGGUGGCAAGCGUUAUCCGGAAUUAUUGGGCGUAAAGCGCGCGUAGGCGGUUUUUUAAGUCUGAUGUGAAAGCCCACGGCUCAACCGUGGAGGGUCAUUGGAAACUGGAAAACUUGAGUGCAGAAGAGGAAAGUGGAAUUCCAUGUGUAGCGGUGAAAUGCGCAGAGAUAUGGAGGAACACCAGUGGCGAAGGCGACUUUCUGGUCUGUAACUGACGCUGAUGUGCGAAAGCGUGGGGAUCAAACAGGAUUAGAUACCCCUGGUAGUCCACGCCGUAAACGAUGAGUGCUAAGUGUUAGGGGGUUUCCGCCCCUUAGUGCUGCAGCUAACGCAUUAAGCACUCCGCCUGGGGAGUACGACCGCAAGGUUGAAACUCAAAGGAAUUUGACGGGGACCCGCACAAGCGGUGGGAGCAUGGUGGUUUAA
rnacentral:rRNA from 1 species